rnacentral:rRNA from 1 species
UACGUAGGGGGCUAGCGUUGUCCGGAAUCAUUGGGCGUAAAGCGCGUGUAGGCGGUCCGGUAAGUCCGCUGUGAAAGUCGGGGGCUCAACCCUCGGAUGCCGGUGGAUACUGUCGGGCUUGAGUACGGAAGAGGCGAGUGGAAUUCCUGGUGUAGCGGUGAAAUGCGCAGAUAUCAGGAGGAACACCAAUUGCGAAGGCAGCUCGCUGGGACGUUACUGACGCUGAGGCGCGAAAGCUAGGGUAGCAAACAGG